CCCAGACUCCUACGGGAGGGCAGCAGUAGGGAAUYUUCCGCAAUGGACGAAAGUCUGACGGAGCAACSSCCGCGUGAGUGAUGAAGGUUUUUCGGAUCGUWAAAGCUYUGUUGUUAGGGAAAGAAACAAGUGCCGUUCGAAUAGGGCGGCACCUUGACGGUACCUAACCAGAAAGCCACGGGCUAACUACGUGCCAGCAGCCGCGGUAAUWCGUAGGUGGCAAGCGUUGUCCGGAAUUAUUGGGCGUAAAGCGCGCGCAGGUGGUUCCUUAAGUCUGAUGUGAAAGCCCACGGCUCAACCGUGGAGGGUCAUUGGAAACUGGGGRACUUGAGUGCAGAAGAGGAAAGUGGAAUUCCAAGUGUAGCGGUGAAAUGCGUAGAUAUUUGGAGGAACACCAGUGGCGAAGGCGACUUUCUGGUCUGUAACUGACACUGAGGCGCGAAAGCGUGGGGAGCAAACAGGAUUAGAUACCCUGGUAGUCCACGCCGUAAACGAUGAGUGCUAAGUGUUAGGGGGUUUCCGCCCCUUAGUGCUGCAGCUAACGCAUUAAGCACUCCGCCUGGGGAGUACGGUCGCAAGACUGAAACUCAAAGGAAUUGACGGGGGCCCGCACAAGCGGUGGAGCAUGUGGUUUAAUUYGAAGCAACGCGAAGAACCUUACCAGGUCUUGACAUCCUCUGACAACCCUAGAGAUAGGGCUUUCCCCUUCGGGGGACAGAGUGACAGGUGGUGCAUGGUUGUCGUCAGCUCGUGUCGUGAGAUGUUGGGUUAAGUCCCGCAACGAGCGCAACCCUUGAUCUUAGUUGCCAGCAUUCAGUUGGGCACUCUAAGAUGACUGCCGGUGACAAACCGGAGGAAGGUGGGGAUGACGUCAAAUCAUCAUGCCCCUUAUGACCUGGGCUACACACGUGCUACAAUGGACGGUACAAAGGGCAGCGAGACCGCGAGGUUUAGCCAAUCCCAUAAAACCGUUCUCAGUUCGGAUUGUAGGCUGCAACUCGCCUACAUGAAGCUGGAAUCGCUAGUAAUCG
rnacentral:rRNA from 2 species